UACGUAGGGUGCGAGCGUUGUCCGGAAUUAUUGGGCGUAAAGGGCUCGUAGGCGGUCUGUUGCGUCGGGAGUGAAAACUCAGGGCUUAACCCUGAGCCUGCUUCCGAUACGGGCAGACUAGAGGUAUGCAGGGGAGAACGGAAUUCCAGGUGUAGCGGUGAAAUGCGUAGAUAUCUGGAGGAACACCGGUGGCGAAGGCGG
rnacentral:rRNA from 1 species